AGUGAGUGUGUCUGGGGGAACGAUCGAACAAGGAAGGAGGAGGGGGAAACCCUAAACUCAAGAAAUCAAGCAAUUGAAGCCUAAAAUCAUAAGAAAAUCCAGUGCAUGAGCCAUCUUAUCGAUCAUCUAAGCAUACCUAGUGAAGUGCUUGAAAGAAUAAGAACCAUGUCAAGAUGGACCAACUCAUGGGAAGCAAACGGGUCAAAGAGGAGGCAAAGAAACUAGCAUAAACAUGACGAGCACAAGGUAAGUGAUUUCUAUAAUCACUUCUUUAGUUGUUUAAGUAAUAUAAUGUUUUAAUUAUUAAGUUCAUAUGAAGUUGAGGUCAAAUCAAUAGAUUAUUUUGAUAAAUGCACGAAUGGGUCGAAUAAUUCAUAGAUAAAUAACAAGCCGAAUACGUAUAAUUUAAGAAAUUCCUUAACUCGGAUGUUGGACUUCAAGGUCACAUGAUAGAAUAUUAAAUUACAAUCAUAUAGGAAGAAACGUGACGCAAAACGGAUGAAAAAUGAGAGAGUUAUGUCCGUUUCGGUAAGGAUUAAUGGCUAGGAAAAGUGCAUAGUUGACACGGCCGGGUGGUGAACUGACACGGCCGGGUGGAGGUUCUGUCAAAAAUAUUAUUUAUGUGAUUUAUGCGCCGUAGGUUGCGGUAUAUUAUCCGUGAAUUAUGACGGGCCUCCCAAACAUGAUUUCGAGUGUUUCCUUGACGAUUAUAAGUUGUAAACCCAAGUCUAAGCCUCAUGUAAUUUAUAUAAGAGUGUGUUAGAUGUAUGUAAUGAGGUUGGACAUGUAUUACAUGUAAAUGUAUACAAAAAUACGUACGGAACACGUAGGUAUGAAUACAUGAUUGUAGGUAUGAUUAAAUGUAUUUUAGGUAUGUAGAUGUGUAUGAUUGUAAGAUUGUAUGUGUGCAAGUAUGUGCGAAUGCAUGAUUUGGAUGCAUUUGAGAAUUAGCGUUACUAAUAAUGCCCUUGGGUUUGGAAUAUAAGUUAAUUGGAUGCAUUUAAAUGGUUGACUUCCUUUUUAUGAAGAUGUAGUAAAUGAAUAUGUUGAGAUUACGGGUUUGGCUAACCAAGUUAUUAUUGAGUAUGUUUGAAAGUGCAGGUUAUGAAUGUCGGACUUUCAAAGUGUUGAUAUAAUAAUGAAACGGUUGAAUCUUGAAAGGAUAAUCAGAUUGAAGUAACUUAUGCGGUUAGAAUAUGAUGUGGACGUUUUAGUUUAUACAACAUUUUAUGUUUGGUCGGCAUCAUCUACCAACGGGUUAGUUGUUUGAAAAUAUAUGUCAUACCCAUUUAAUUGGGUAAUCGAAUGCGCGAGAGAAAUGAAAGUACAUACACGAAUGGAACUAAAGUGACGGUUUUAUAAGUAAAUAAGUAAAUGACUAACUUUUUAAAGCUUUGUUGUUGAAUGUAGGUAAAUCCUCAAUUCAGGCGACUUGGAGAAUCGGAGCGAGCGCGUGUUCAUGUUAUGUCAUACCAAACGCUUCCGCUAGCUUGUUCAAAUGUUUUUAGUCCAAAAUUUGUUGUAUUGGUUCUUAGUAGUAUUUUGUCGAAUGAAUCGUAUAAUUGUAUCUAGUUCGAUUAUGUUUAAAACAGGGGAAUGCUCGUUUUAUGGACGGGUCAUGCCCAAUUUUUGUUAAAUUAAUGCACCUGCGUUAUU
rnacentral:lncRNA from 1 species